rnacentral:lncRNA from 1 species
AGAAGCUUAAAGAGUUGUUCUCUUCUUAGAAAAUGCUACCGAAGGUUGUGGUAACGGACCAGGAACUUACGUUGAUGAAUGCCAUGAAAGUUGUAUUUCCAAAUUUAACUCAUCUGUUGUGUUCGUUCCAUAUUUCAAAAAACGUUAGUAUGAAUCUAUGGAACAACAUUAUGUAUGCUAAUAGAGAAGCUGGAUUUAUCGCAC